rnacentral:rRNA from 1 species
CACGUAGGGUGCGAGCGUUGUCCGGAAUUAUUGGGCGUAAAGAGCUCGUAGGCGGUGUGUCGCGUCGGCCGUGAAAACCUGCAGCUUAACUGUGGGCUUGCGGUCGAUACGGGCAUCACUGGAGUUCGGCAGGGGAGACUGGAAUUCCUGGUGUAGCGGUGAAAUGCGCAGAUAUCAGGAGGAACACCGAUGGCGAAGGCAGCUCGCUGGGACGGAACUGACGCUAAGGCGCGAAAGCGUGGGGAGCGAACAGG